GAUGAACGCUAGCGGCAGGCCUAAUACAUGCAAGUCGAGGGGUAGAAGAGGCUUGCUUCUUUGAGACCGGCGCACGGGUGCGUAACGCGUAUGCAACCUACCUUCAUCUGGGGGAUAGCCCGGAGAAAUCCGGAUUAAUACCGCAUAAAAUCACAGGAUGGCAUUAUCCAAUGAUCAAACAUUUAUGGGAUGGAGAUGGGCAUGCGUGUCAUUAGCUAGUUGGCGGGGUAACGGCCCACCAAGGCGACGAUGACUAGGGGAUCUGAGAGGAUGGGCCCCCCAACUGGGACUGAGACCCGGACCAGAACUCUUAGGGAGGCAGCAGUUAGGGAUAUUUGUCAAUGGAAGCAACCCUGAACCAGCCAUGCCGCGUUCAGGAAAGCUUCCCUAUUGGUUUUAAACUGGUUUUAUUCGGGAAUAAACCUUAUUACGUGUAAUAAGCUGAAUGUACCGAAGGAAUAAGGAUCGGCUAACUCCGUGCCAGCCGCCGCGGUAA
rnacentral:rRNA from 1 species